GUAUAGAUUUAAUUUUUGCUUGUUUUCAUGUUCUACAGCUUAUGGGAAGGAAGGAGUGAAAUUGAAUUUUGUCGAUCGGAUCUUUGUCGGAGAGCUGACCAGUACGAUAAUGUGUGAAGAGUGUGAACAUAUUUCCACAGUGAAAGAAGCCUUCAUUGAUAUUUCCCUUCCCAUCAUAGAGGAAAGGAUCUCUAAGCCCACAAACCCUGCUAGACUAGGGAAAAGUGGGCGGGAGCAAGAUGGUCUGGCCUCCCAUGAUGACUCAUCAGCUGCCCACUCACACACCAAUCGAAACAGCCGAAGGUUAAGUGGACAGGUAGAUGGAGCCAUUAUUAUAAAA